UCUCUCCUCUCUCUCUCUUCCUCGUCUCUCUAAAAUUAUCUCUUUUUCUCUCUCUAACGUUUCUCUUUCUUGUUAUUUCUCUAUCUUUCCUCUUCGCGGGCUUCCAUCGGAUUAAUCUGUGCCCACCGAUCACCUGACAAAAUUCCGGCGAUUCGUUUCAAAUGACUCGCUAUUUGGAUUCGCUUAAGGACGGACUCUUCUGCGAUUCCCAAAUUGGUAUAAUUCCUUUCCAAUUCUUAUCUUAGAUCCAUUUGCUUAUGAUUUAUUAUGGUUGAAUCAAUCAUUUGAUUCGAUCCGCUCCCGAGGGUCGCUAUUAUUCCAUGCAUGCCGAUCAAUCCAUCCAAAUUCCACGGAACACCAACGCUCGACUUCCUUGCAAUAAUCCCAAGCCCAAAAACAAUUAGAGCUGUUGAUUUUAGGAUUAGGGUUUGCUUGCAUUGAGAAAUGUUGAAGAAAAUUAUAAAGGGUGGGCACAAAAAGCCCUCUAAAUCUGA
rnacentral:misc_RNA from 1 species